CUCCACCGCACGCGCCGGAUCAUCCCUUUGCGCCUGCGCAGCGAGUAGGGCUCUCCCUUCUUCCGACCCCCAGUCUCGAGUUUGUGUUUGCAAACUAGUCCAUCGCGGUGCUCUUCAGCCCAUGCAGGGCUGACCGUCUGCUUCGGUCUGCGCUAUUUCGCUGGGUCGCGACUAUUAAAGUACAGCCUCGCUCGGGAGGGGCUGGCUACCUGUUCCACACCACACUCCCCCCAGCUGGCGCCCCGGGCUCCCAGGUGGGCUGGGCGGGGUUGUGGUUUCCGGCCUCCUCUGCUUAGCUGCUGGCCUUCUCGGGCUCUGGCUUCGGCUGCUUCCCCCAGGGAAAGGGAGCCAGGCCUUCUGCAGCACUUCUUCCCUCCAAUACAACCGCCACACAAAUACUAUCAACUACAGGAAUACAUCCCCUCUUCCCUAGUUCUACAUUCUCCUCCCUGUCUGGGAGAGUUCCAGCCUCAAGAACCCUUUUCCAGCAGAAGGGCCUUGCCUGUUUGGCUUUCCCAGACUGCAGCUGACCACAACCCUGGUGAGGGGCUUUGCUUGGGUUACAAAUAACACUUCCUUGGGGGCAGUGUCAUCAGCAGCCACAGAAGAUUGCGG
rnacentral:lncRNA from 1 species